CUGUACGCAGGGACGUCAGAGGCCUGGCAGGGGAAUGGCCGCCCGCAGCCAAGGCAGACCGUCAGCCCCCGCCCGGACUCAACAGAGCAACCCCCGUCUUUCUGUUCGCUUUCCCCGCCUGCCCAACGCUGCUCCCGGGUGAAGCGGGGCCGGCGCCGGGCGGUGCCGCGAGCGGAGCGGGCGGGGCCGGGCCUGGCGGCGGGAAGGGCCUCCCCUCAGGGAACGGCGGGCCCGCGGAGCGUUCUGGGAGCCGUAGUCUCCCCGGGGCGGUAGGCCGGGCGCCAUCUUGUGCGCGGCGGCAGGCCCGGCGGCGCGGCUCCCACGCCAGCCCCCACCGGCGGUAGGGAGCGGCAGCAUUCCCGGGGGGAGCGGGCGCCGUUCCCCGUCACCUGUCGGGACCGGGUGCCUGGGCAGCGGAGACCCUCCCGCCAUGGCGACGCCCGCACGCCCAGCUCCUCCUCGACCUUCCUCCCGUCAUGCACCGCGCGUCUCCGCCUGUUCCGGCCCAGCGCCGCGCGGUGAUUGGCCUCUCGGGCGUCCUACCCGGAAGCGGGCGCCGCGGCAAGAGAUUUGAACGGCAACGGCCGCCCCGGGAGGCGGCUGCCGAGCCGAGUCUGCUCAGCGUGGAGAAGCCCAAAGGCCGGCUGCAGUUUCUCCUCGCAGGGGCUGAGAAGAAUUGCCGGGUCCCCGUUCCUCUCAGAAUGGCUUUAGGUGAUUAUGAGGAAAUUCUCAAGUGCUACGAAUUACAUGAAACGAUUGGAACAGGUGGGUUUGCAAAGGUGAAACUCGCACGCCAUCUCCUCACUGGUGAGAAGGUUGCCAUAAAAAUCAUGGACAAACUUGCUCUGGGGGAUGACUUGCCUCGUGUUAAAAUAGAAAUUGAUGCCAUGAAGAAUUUAAGGCACCAGCAUAUUUGCCAGUUGUAUCACGUGAUAGAGACAUCUGAGAAAAUGUUCAUGGUCCUAGAGUACUGUCCUGGAGGAGAGCUGUUUGAUUACAUCAUUUCUAAGGAUCGCCUUUCAGAAGAGGAAGCUCGUGUGUUUUUUCGGCAGAUUGUUUCGGCGAUUGCUUAUGUUCACAGCCAGGGAUAUGCCCACAGGGACCUCAAACCAGUAAGCCUGAAGAGUAGCUAGAUUUGCAUGAGUGAUAACGAACGCUCGCUUUCAUUUCUCCAUUAGGAGCUGGAGUAAGUUAUGCCUUCUCUGUUCUCUGGUGCUUAGAGCUCUUUAUCUAGUGUCUUCUGAAAGAGCAUUGUUUCGGCUUGCUACUGUGUUCCUCAGCUGAGCUGGAUGUGUCUGUAUCUGAGGAAGGAGCUUCCCUCGGCUUCCUCUGAAAGGGAAGCAGAACAACAUGCUUCAGCUGUGAGUGGAGCGGAGAGAGGAAUGUGACUUGGAAUGUUACUUAGACGUUUUUGUUCUCCCCUUCGUUGCAGCUUGUACCUGUAGAGAGACUUUAUGGUGCCACUCUGUUGUGCAAACCGCUGUAUUUGCAUGCCCAAAGGAAAAAGUGACACGGAUAAUUUAAACAAGCGGUGGUUAGAGAGAAGGUGCAGGGGGAGCUGCAUGCGACUGGACCCAUCCUGUGGCUUUGCUGUCAUGGCAGGGUUUAGGGCAUCAUCAUCCCUAAGCAUCAGUGUAGGUAAUGGAAGACCUGAGUCCCUUUCUCCUUGACGGGGUUAGAAAUUUGCAUUUUUACAGCUGCUGGCAUCUCUGAGAAAAGCAACUGUUUUAGCGCACAAGCGUUUUCCUAGAGAGCUCCUGAAAUCUUUGCCUCCGAAGAACUUCUCCCCAAACAAAGCAUCGUAUGUACCUUUGUGAAGGAGCUGGCUUUGCAGUUGGCGAGCGGACGGAUUCAUAGGCCUGUGUGAUAACUCGGGUGGGAAGUGGCUUCUAGAGGCUUCUGUUGGAACCUUCCGCUCAAAGCAGUGUCUGACCAAGCUUCUCGGGCCUUAUCCGUGUCACAUCUUCGACCUCUCCCAAGGAUGAGGCAGCACGAUCUCUCUGGGCAAUCUGUUGAGCCCUUCACUGUCCUUAUGAGGAGAAAGGCAUUUCCUUAGUUCCAGUCUGAACCUCUCUCCAUGCCUGUUGUCUGUCAAUUCUCCCACCGUGCGCUGCUGUGAAGAGGCGAGUUCUGUCUUCCUGCCCUCCGGGGAGGUAUUAAAAGGCUGCCACGACAUCUCCGCUGAAGCUUGCUCGUCUACAGGCUGAAGGAACACCUUUCCCCCAGCCUCUCGUUGAGCAAGCGCUCCAGCCCCCUGAGCACACUGCUGGCAAUCCCCAGAGCUCACUUCAGUUGUAUGGCCUUCCUGCGCGGGGGGCAGAAGCUGGUUGCGCUGUUGUCGCUGUGCUGAACGGAGGACUGGAGUGACUCCGCCAGCCGACUCGCUGUGCUCCUUUGAACACAGUCCGUGACGCUGCCGACUGCCUUUUCUGCCAGAGCAGGCUGCUGCCUCACAUCCAGGUUGCUGUCUAUCAGCCCUGCCCCACCCCCCAGACCCUUCUCAGCGGGUAGGAACUGGGAUUCCCCAUCUGGAAUACGGGGAAAAUCUGCUGAUUGACAAGGAGCAUAAUUUGAAGCUGAU